UUGAUCCUGGCUCAGGAUGAACGCUAGCGACAGGCUUAACACAUGCAAGUCGAGGGGCAGCACAGGUAGCAAUACCGGGUGGCGACCGGCGCACGGGUGAGUAACGCGUAUGCAACUUGCCUAUCAGAGGGGGAUAACCCGGCGAAAGUCGGACUAAUACCGCAUGAAGCAGGGGCCCCGCAUGGGGAUAUUUGCUAAAGAUUCAUCGCUGAUAGAUAGGCAUGCGUUCCAUUAGGCAGUUGGCGGGGUAACGGCCCACCAAACCGACGAUGGAUAGGGGUUCUGAGAGGAAGGUCCCCCACAUUGGUACUGAGACACGGACCAAACUCCUACGGGAGGCAGCAGUGAGGAAUAUUGGUCAAUGGGCGCAGGCCUGAACCAGCCAAGUAGCGUGAAGGAUGACUGCCCUAUGGGUUGUAAACUUCUUUUAUACGGGAAUAAAGUUAGCCACGUGUGGCUUUUUGUAUGUACCGUAUGAAUAAGGAUCGGCUAACUCCGUGCCAGCAGCCGCGGUAAUACGGAGGAUCCGAGCGUUAUCCGGAUUUAUUGGGUUUAAAGGGAGCGUAGGCGGGUUGUUAAGUCAGUUGUGAAAGUUUGCGGCUCAACCGUAAAAUUGCAGUUGAUACUGGCGACCUUGAGUGCAACAGAGGUAGGCGGAAUUCGUGGUGUAGCGGUGAAAUGCUUAGAUAUCACGAAGAACUCCGAUUGCGAAGGCAGCUUACUGGAUUGUAACUGACGCUGAUGCUCGAAAGUGUGGGUAUCAAACAGGAUUAGAUACCCUGGUAGUCCACACAGUAAACGAUGAAUACUCGCUGUUGGCGAUAUACAGUCAGCGGCCAAGCGAAAGCAUUAAGUAUUCCACCUGGGGAGUACGCCGGCAACGGUGAAACUCAAAGGAAUUGACGGGGGCCCGCACAAGCGGAGGAACAUGUGGUUUAAUUCGAUGAUACGCGAGGAACCUUACCCGGGCUUAAAUUGCAACUGACUGAACCGGAAACGGUUCUUUCUUCGGACAGUUGUGAAGGUGCUGCAUGGUUGUCGUCAGCUCGUGCCGUGAGGUGUCGGCUUAAGUGCCAUAACGAGCGCAACCCUUAUCGAUAGUUACUAGCAGGUCAUGCUGAGGACUCUAUUGAGACUGCCGUCGUAAGAUGUGAGGAAGGUGGGGAUGACGUCAAAUCAGCACGGCCCUUACGUCCGGGGCUACACACGUGUUACAAUGGGGGGUACAGAAGGCAGCUACACGGCGACGUGGUGCUAAUCCCGAAAGCCUCUCUCAGUUCGGAUUGGAGUCUGCAACCCGACUCCAUGAAGCUGGAUUCGCUAGUAAUCGCGCAUCAGCCACGGCGCGGUGAAUACGUUCCCGGGCCUUGCACUCACCGCCCGUCA
rnacentral:rRNA from 1 species